rnacentral:lncRNA from 1 species
UUUAAAUACCAAAACCACACAUUACAUUCCAUAUAAAAUAGAAAUAAGUUUACAGACGUCAGUCAUACAUCAUAUUAUGUAUAUAAUUUAAAAAGAAAAUUAAAAAAAUAAAAAGAAGGAAAAUAAGGUUGGCUUGUAUCAUGAGUUCCUUGCUUCACAUUUGCAACAUACCAUCUUCGUCCAUCCCAUAGUACCUCCCUUAUCAAACACCAUACAUCCAUCAUCCAUGCAUAAAUAAAAAAUUUAAAAAAUUAAUAAUAAGAAGAAGUUUGAAAUAAUAUAGACACGAUUUCUACAUUUUACAGCAACAUCCAUGCCAUCAACAACAUACCAACAACAUACAUAACACA